rnacentral:tRNA from 1 species
GGCUUUAGCUCAGAGGCAGAGCACUUACCUAGAAUGCACCAGACCCUGGGUUCAAUCCCCAGUAUGGCUA